rnacentral:lncRNA from 1 species
AUACUUGAAGCCUUCUGAAAUGGUAUGAUGCUAUUCUGUAUGGGCAGAUGCUUGAAGCCUUCUGGUGAGCUCCAAGCUGUGGAGACUGUGCCAAGCAAAAUAAGUAAUACAGACUGUUUGAGAAAUUCUCAGCUACAGUGGAGUAUCUGAAGGAACAUAGCUGGCUGCUCCAACAUGGACUACUUUAUCUUGUAUGUAAUUUGGGCAGAAACUCCAUGUAGCUCUCUUCGCUACUACAGCCUUAAAUGGAAGCAGUGGAGAAUGAGGGCCAAGUAUAUUCAGUGAAGAAUUAAAGUACAUAUUAUGAUUUUUUUAUGGCAUUGAUUUAUAGCUAUAAAUACUGCACACCUGUGCAUGUAUGUGAUGGUUGAGACAAGGAGUAAUUUUAAUUCCAUUUUGCACAUGUGUAUAGGUGUUGCAGAUAAUAAUGCGUUUAUUGCAUCAUAAAUUCAAACAGAGUGUGUUCCCCAUGGUAAAGAUUACUCAAAAUGCAAUGUUUUAUGCUUAGAUGGAAACCCUGAAGAGAUGCCUUAUUUGUCCUAUUACAAAAGCAAUAUGCAUGUCCCAACUCACCUGAGAAUCUCUAAAACAUUUAUUAAUUAAAUAUUGAGGGAUAUUUUUGACAACCUAAUGCGAACUAAACCAAAUGUAUUUAAGUUUUUUCAGUGAGGAGCAAAGGAGAAAUUGAAAACAUAACAAAUGUAAAGGUCUGUGUUGUGUAUAUGUACUGUGAUUGACUCGGAAGGGAAAAAAGGGCCUGUCCCAAACUAGCACCUUGCAUUAACAGUUUAGACAAGGGUAGCUAGUCAGGACUUUCUGGGCACUUUAAAAAUGCUCUAAAUCCCCAAAAGCACUGAAAAUUAUAUUCAUACAUAUAAAUGUAACUUAAGUAAUUUAAUGACUGCACCAUUUAAACUCCUGUUUAUUUUGAAAUACAUUAUGCAGAGUAAUUAGGGAUGGGUUAUAAAAAGUGUGCAGAAAACAGAAUAUUUACAAUACAUAAAGCUUCUUUCCUUGCUAAAAAGUGGUUUAGCUUAUGAAAAUUCGUAGGGAAAUAAACACCUUAUGUACAAGUUUUGGAGAGUGGCCUUUUCUAACACAGGGUGACCACUGAUGGUGGAGGCUGUUGAAGAGUGACAUGAGCUUGCAGUCUUUGUGAAACAUGGAACUACUAAUUUCAAUGUGUCUUCCACUCAGUGGUUCUGACCUACCUGAUUAGUCAAUUUACCUAAGCAUUUUGACAGCUGCAGGUGUUAUAGAGUGUGUGAGCACCUUAAAAAGAAGAUAGCUGUGCUAUAAAUUUUAACCAGGGUUUUACUACAAUUUGUUCUCCCAUUCUCAUCUGUUCAGAUAGGGGGAGGAAUGUGGAAUGUGCAUUUAAUCUUCAUGAGUUGUUAUGCUACUACUGAUAUAUGCCCAACAUUUUUUAUUGUGCCUU